GCCGUGAUCGUCUAGUGGUUAGGACAUUGCGUUGUUCCCGCAAUAACCCAGGUUCGAAUCCUGGUCUCGGCA
rnacentral:tRNA from 1 species